rnacentral:lncRNA from 1 species
UUGUGUCUUCCUCUUCUGGGUCUGCAGUUUGCAUUUUAGCACGAAACCUUUUCCAAGAGGAGUGCUAACUCUGGAGUCAGCUGGUCAGCUGUUAAUACACACAAAGACUUCUUGGGAAGCAGAACAAAAUGGUGACAACACCCUCUUUGUCACCCCUUUACACUACAGCUGUAAAUUUGACUUCUGCAAGUACAUCUGGAGCCACAACCAUUCAGGCAGAUUGUUCUUAUGGGUAUGAGCCCUGGGUAGUUGGAGUUGCCGCAGGGAUACCAAGCUUCCUGGUCUUCGUCCUUGCAGUCAUCUUGGUACUGGUCUGGGUUCACCAGGGGACAAACUGCAGCUGGAAGCAGACAAGCCAAAGUCCCAAGGUGCAAGAAGAACAUGAAUAUGAAUCAUCCCCUCCCAGACCUUCAGAAGACUUUUAUAUGACCAUGAUGGAGGGGACAACAAAUACCUAUGUAAAUGAAGAUCCAGAAAAAUAUCUCAAAACAGACAUCCAAACACCAGCAAAACCCAUAAGGAUGAAUAAGUCCAGAGGAGAACCACCUGUAGUGGAAUCCUUUUAUGAAAAUCGYCUGCCCUAUAACUGAAAGAAAAGCACCAAGUAGUGGCUGGGAACAGAAAUAGCAUGCAGAAUUAUUUUCUUAGUCACCAAGGGUCACAUGGCUGCAUUUUAUGGACAAGGGAGUUUUCUUUUUGUGCAUGCGUGUGUUUCUACAGAGGACAGUACAAAGAGACUUUGGAUGGGGAAGGAACCUGUUUGAACUGAUGCCUUUGAGAUACAGAAGCAAAAUGAGACUCCCCAGCAGUACCCAAACUCAGAGAGAUGGUUUUGCUGUCCUAGUAAAUUUAGGUUAAUUCAAUCUAAUACAGAACAGGUAAAUCUUUGCGGUGAAACUAGUGGUAGAAAAAAGCAGUCAGAGAUACUGUUUUUGCCUGCUUCUUGUUUUCAUUUGACAGACGGAGGCUAGAGCACAACUAAGAUGAGCUGAUAUGCCCAAGAAAAAUGGAGGAGGAAUAAAACUGCACCUUCU